GAAAUAAAAAGGACGUAAGGAUGUGCACGAUGCCCUUAUUCGGGCCAGAAAGUGGCAUCCUGAGCUGAAGGAACCUCCUGCUGCUCCUCCCUGCGCGGCCUGUGCCCCCCAGGGCUGUGGUCCUCGCCCUGGGCUCCUGUCUUCUCUAGACCGUACCCAAGGAACAGCUUUUGUCAUUGAUCAAAUGCUGCAGCUCUCCUGGAGCCAUUCAUCAAUUUCACCAGCUGUUUAUAGCUUUAUUUACUACAAAGGAAGCAAGAUGCCCAGGGGGCCAGUUCCUGCGUGCCACAGUCUGGCUGGGCAAAAUAACCCGGGGGGUGACAAGCAACUUGUGAAGAUUGAAACAGCGGGAGCCACUUUAUUACAGGACAGCAGAGGUAUAUAUACUUAACUAAUUACACACAGCUUAACUUAAUUAACAUCAUCUAGAUACAGCAGUUAGCCAUUAAGGAAUCCCCAUCAUCUUAAUGGCUCGAUGGCGUUACUUCACAAACCACUCCUCCUGGCAAAGUGCCAGGUGCCAUCUUGACUUGAUUGUGGCCCUCAACAUCUGCAGACCUGGGAGACCUGCCUGACUUACCUCCUCGCUGUCCUGCCCUAGUAGAGUUAGGCACUCCUGCUCUGUACCCCUGUGAUCUUGCUCAUGCUCCAACUACUUCACCUGUCACUCCAUUGCAUGUACCACCAGGUCCCCAGCAGGUAGCAACAGUGGCGGUCACAGAAUGUAUGCUCCCGUUGUCGAAGUCACUGGGUUGAAGCGGGAAAGAAGAGUCUGCCUCUCAAAUGGCGUUGAAGGGAUGAAACUUAAACACUUUCAAAACAUGGGACAAAUGUCUAAGCAAACAAACUUCGUCACUUCAAACUCACUAUCUGGCCCUAAGACAAAGACCUCGUUUUUUCCUCCAGUGUCACGACAUCAGUUAAAAUAGCAACAGGAGGUUCUUAUCGCAGGUCGCCAUGGUUUUCCCUUCUCCUGCCUUCUGUGCAUAUUUAUUUCCUGGCAAGCCACACAGCAGCAGAUGGAUGGCAUAGCCUGCCCUGCAUCGUCCACAGUCUGAAUCCAGCGUAAACUCCAGUCACCAUGUAAUUACAGGCACUUGCUAUUUUCACACUGUUCCCACCCAGGCUAAAAAUGCCCAUGUUUCUUUUUCUCCAUGGACUCACCAUGACUCUCCCCCAGCCUCUGAGGCUGGAGGCUCCCUGUGCUGAUCCACAUCCUCGUUCUUCACCAUCUGCACCACUCCACAGCAGCUCAUCCUCCAGGGCUCGCAGGGACGUCAACUGUCACGCAGAUGCUGCUGAAAUUGUCCUGAGCCCAGGGGUGU
rnacentral:lncRNA from 1 species